UACGUAGGGUGUGAGCGUUGUCCGGAAUUAUUGGGCGUAAAGAGCUCGUAGGCGGUCUGUCGCGUCGGUCGUGAAAACUUGGGGCUUAACCCUGAGCUUGCGGUCGAUACGGGCAUGACUGGAGUUCGGCAGGGGAGACUGGAAUUCCUGGUGUAGCGGUGAAAUGCGCAGAUAUCAGGAGGAACACCGGUGGCGAAGGCGGGUCUCUGGGCCGAUACUGACGCUGAGGAGCGAAAGCGUGGGGAGCGAACAGG
rnacentral:rRNA from 1 species